UUUGUUGCCAGUUGUCGCCUGUUGCGAGAUGACGCAUUACCAUUUACCAGCAAUUAGUCGCUCACAACCACUGACCCCGGAAGGAAGUUCAAGGAACCAUGGAGGGGAAACAGACCAAAUCUGACGGAGAGCUCAUGCCUCCUCCACGAGCCCCACCGAGGAGAGCUGCCGCCCGACCAAGGAGGGCUGCCACUCCACCCCUUCCACCUCAGCCACCAGCACCGGAGGAUGUCCCACGCCUUCGAAGAUCAUUUGCUUUUAUGGAAUCCAAGACAAGAGACGUGGGGACCCUGACUCCCGUUUCCUCCCAGGACUCGAAGAAAAG